rnacentral:rRNA from 1 species
GUAGGUGGCAAGCGUUAUCCGGAAUUAUUGGGCGUAAAGCGCGCGUAGGCGGUUUUUUAAGUCUGAUGUGAAAGCCCACGGGCUCAACCGGUGGAGGGGUCAUUGGAAAACUGGAAAACUUGAGUGCAGAAGAGGAAAGUGGAAUUCCAUGUGUAGCGGUGAAAUGCGCAGAGAUAUGGAGGAACACCAGUGGCGAAGGCGACUUUCUGGUCUGUAACUGACGCUGAUGUGCGAAAGCGUGGGGAUCAAACAGGAUUAGAUACCCUGGUAGUCCACGCCGUAAACGAUGAGUGCUAAGUGUUAGGGGGUUUCCGCCCCUUAGUGCUGCAGCUAACGCAUUAAGCACUCCGCCUGGGGAGUACGACCGCAAGGUUG